rnacentral:lncRNA from 1 species
AACAGGAGACUGAGCCCUGGAACGUGAAGAUUUUGCCCAACAUCACACAGCUUGAAAAUGACGAUGAAACUCAAGCAUCCGCCUCCAGAGACUGUGCGAUGACUCUCGACUAUCCAUAGCCCUUCGAGGAGCUCGAUCACUUGUGGGCACACAGCAGGGACCUAAUCAAGAGACACUAGCCCUAACCUUUCUGUGAGGGCAAACCCUCUCCUCAGUGCCCCUGCACACAUCUUCCCACAUCUAAGUCUUUGCGAAGAAGGGGCUCCCUGCCUGAAAUACCUUUCCUGUUUCUCUCCUCACCACAAUACCCUCCAUGUUUAUCAAGGCCAAAGGGAAGAUCUGCCUCCUCCAGGAAGCCAACAGGGAUCACACCGGGACAAACGGGUUAAUCUGAAACUCCAAAUAUUCUAUCUGUAGUGAAAGGAGCCAGCACAUCCAAAUUAUCAGUCCAGGUGAUUUACCUGAAGCUCAACUCCAACCCCAGGCUCCAAGAAUGAGAUACCACCAAACCUGGGCCAACUACCGGACCUCAGGAUGUUUGUUAAACCUAUGUUGGGAAAUAGACACAAUUUUUAUUCUGGGGAGGACAAGCUGGUAGGGUGUAGACCCUGGAGAUGCCUGUGCCCAUCUUUUCCCUUACUGAGGAGAGACUGGUUAAGAAUCAAGAAUAAAACAAAAGGAGACAUAUGCCCAAUGGCAUUAUUUGAACUCAUUGAUCCAGCCAUAUCUGAAUCAGUUAAGUGUUCCAAUACAUGUAUUCUUGUCUCCUGAAGCCAUUUUGAGUUGAGUUUCUACCAC